UACAGAGGGUGCGAGCGUUGUUCGGAAUUACUGGGCGUAAAGCGCGCGCAGGCGGCUUCCUAAGUCCGUCGGUGAAAGACCGGGGCUCAACCCCGUGUCAGCCAUGGAUACUGGGAGGCUGGAGACAGGUAGAGGCAAGCGGAAUUCCGGGUGUAGCGGUGGAAUGCGUAGAUAUCAGGAGGAACACCAAUAGCGAAGGCAGCUCGCUGGGACGGUACUGACGCUACGGCGCGAAAGCGUGGGGAGCGAACAGC
rnacentral:rRNA from 1 species